rfam:Chloroflexi bacterium CSP1-4 XT10_C0012, whole genome shotgun sequence.
UCUGAAGUACGGCAAACCCGUCGAGAGGCGGGGACGCAAAGCCAGGGAUCCUCGGGCUCAACGCCAAGGACCGCCCGGCUGCCAGG